rnacentral:rRNA from 1 species
AUGUUCAUUCAACAAGAUAAUGCAACACCGCAUGAUCUCCCUAAUGAUGCUGGUUUUCCAGAAGCCGUGGCACAUACAGAUCUGGAUAUUCGACUAUUGCAACAACCACCGAACAGCCCUGAGCUCAAUGUUCUAGAUCUUUGUUUCCACUGCUCCCUCCAAUCCCUAACCGAAUGCAGAGCGCCUAUGAAUAUACAGGAACUGGUACAGGGUGUAGAGGAGGAGUUUGAGAAAUACGAUGCCCAUAAGCUGUUCCAAAGCUUUAUGACGUUGCAAGCAGUCAUGGUGGAAGUGAUGAAAGAUCAAGGAGGAAACAACUACAAGAUGCCGCAUCUGCAUAAGGAACGUCUACAGAAUGCUGGAGAGGAAAUAAUCGGUGUAUACUGCAGUCCCGAGCUAAUUACUGACACCAAGGCCAUUAUAGAACAAGGAAAUGAGUAG